UGCCCCUGAAGUAAGUACAAAAUGGUACAAGAUAGCAGAUAAUCAAAUGUUGAGACGUAUUCAAGGGCCUAAACAUCUCGUCUAGCCCAAAGCAGUAACGUGAAAUGACGAAAAAAAAAAAAAAAAGGACACAGCGGUCUUUGCGCCGGUCAACCACAGAGCGCGGAGGUGUGGCCAGCGCCGGUCGGCCGGGUCCAAGGCCCCCAAACAAGAGGCCCGCGGGGCGCAGGCGCACCGGGCGGAGGUGACAGCUCCUAGGACCCCAGCCUCGACCCGUAACAGCCUCUUUAAGAAGGCGAGCCGCAGGCGGCCCGGGUGACGCUCACGUGACUCGGCUCUGUGCAACUGCUGGCGGAAGUGGUCCAGCCUCUGCGACCGGAGCGGGGUCUCUGGGCGCCCCGCGGGGCGUGCAGGCCUGAGCGGGCACCGCCGGGCUGCCCCGGAGCCGGUGGUCAGGAUGGUGCAGCUAUACAACCUGCACCCGUUCGGGUCGCAGCAGGUGGUGCCCUGCAAGUUGGAGCCCGAGCGGUUCUGCGGCGGAGGACGCGACGCUCUCUUCGUGGCGGCAGGCUGCAAGGUGGAGGCAUUCGCCGUGACUGGACAGGAGCUGUGCCAGCCGAGGUGCGCCUUCUCCACGCUAGGCAGGGUGCUGUGCCUGGCCUACAGCGAGGCGGGAGACUAUUUGGCAGCAAUUGAAGAGAAAAACAAAGCUACGUUUCUACGUGCAUAUGUGAACUGGAGAAGUAAAAGGACUGAAAACUGUCGCGUGUGUAUCCGAAUGGUUGGACAUAAUGUGGAGGCACCCUUCAGCGACACCUACAAAGACCAGAUGUCUAUUAUUGAAAUGCCGCUUUCUGAGGCCCCCUUGUGCAUCUCCUGUUGCCCAGUAAAAGGAGACCUUCUUGUUGGUUGCACCAAUAAGUUAGUCUUGUUUAAUUUGAAGUAUCAGGUCAUUAAUGAAGAAUUCUCAGUAUUGGACUUUGAACGUUCUUUAAUUAUACACAUAGAUAAUAUCAUUCCUGUUGAAAUUUCUUUUUGUGUUGGUUAUGUUGCUCUCAUGUCAGACUUAGAAGUCUUAAUCCUAAAACUGGAGUCAGACCCUAAAAGUGGAGAGAGUGUCAACCACCAGCCACGUAAGACCGACAAUCCAAUGAAACAGACAGAAGAUGUCAGUCAUGAAACUUUGCAGCUUGAGUCAGAUGACUUUGUUAUCUGUCAAAAGCCCAUGGAACUUCUCGGUGAAAAAAGUAGCCAAUCUGGAGUAUCCGUUACACUGGAGUCAACAGGAUUAGCUGAUGAAAAAACAAAAUAUUACCACGUUCAGCACCUGCUCUAUAAACGUUUUGCUCCUGAUAUUUCGUUCUGUGUCUUUUCUGAUGACGUCAAGUUACAUUCACUUCAGCUGCUACCUAUUUACCAAACAGGUUCCUUUACUUCUGGUAGAAAAAAAUUGUCUCAGGAAAAAGAGUUGCUGAGCCUCUUCUGUUUUUUCUCAUUGCCUCAUGUGGGCUAUCUGUACAUGGUUGUCAAAUCUGUUGAAUUAAUGUCAGUUUACCAGUAUCCUGAGAAGUCUCAGCAGGCGGUGCUCACACCACAAUUUUUACAUGUCAUCGCAAGCAACAACCUACAGUGUUUCACAGUGCGGUGCAGUGCGGCGGCAGCUCGUGAGGAGGACCCAUAUGUGGACACCACCCUGAAGGCUUGCCCACCUGUCAGUAUGGAUGUCUGUGCUUUAAGAAUACAGCUUUUCAUAGGCUUGAAAGCCAUUUGUCACUUUAAAAACCACCUGAUACUUUUGACCAAGGCAGACCCUGAGGCCAUUCCAGAGAGAAGAGAAUCACCCAAGAGGCUUCUUUCUAGAAAAGGAACCAGUGGUAAGCUUAAAACACCUCCUGUAGCUGAGGCUGGGUGGAAUUUGUAUAUUGUGGAUACGAUCUCACCAGUGCAACUGUACAAAGAAAUGGUAGACUACAGUAAUACCUACAAGACUGCAAAAACCCAGAGCUGCAUCCACCUUCUUAGCGAGGCUCAUCUGUUAGUGAGGGCUGCCUUGAUGGAUGCCAGUCAGUUGGAACCUGGAGAAAAAACAGAGCUUUUGGAAGCAUUUAAAGAAAGCUGUGGGCAUCUUGGAGACUGCUACAGCAGGCUUGACACCCAGCAUUCCCACCUCGCCUUGCCAUACUAUAAGAUGUCUGGUUUGUCUAUGGCCGAAGUUCUAACCCGAGCGGACUGGGUACUAGAGGAUGGAUUGCAGAAAUACGAGAGGGGAUUAAUCUUUUACAUUAAUCAUUCACUUUAUGAAAACCUGGAUGAAGAAUUAAGUGAAGAAUUAGCAGCAAAAGUGGUCCAGAUGUUCCACGUGGCUGAGCCAAAGCAACUGCCCCAUAUUCUCUGUAGUCCUUCUAUGAAGAAUAUUAAUCCUUUAACUGCCAUGAGCUAUCUAAGCAAGCUGGAUACUUCUGGGUUUUCAUCAAUCUUAGUGACAUUGACCAAAGCAGCAAUGGCUCUGAAAAUGGGGGAUCUUGACAUGCAUAGAAAUGAAAUGAAAAGCCAUCCAGAGAUGAAGUUGGUAUGUGGCUUCAUUCUGGAACCUCGACUAUUGAUUCAACAGAGAAAGGGACAGAUUGUUCCAACUGAGCUUGCAGCACACUUGAAGGACACUCAGCCUGGACUGCUUGUGGCUUCAGUUCUGGGCUUACAGAAGAACAACAAAAUUGGAAUUGAAGAAGCAGAUUCCUUCUUUAAGGUGCUUUGUGGUAAGGACGAAGAUAUCAUCCCGCAGCUCUUGGUAGACCUUUGGGAAGCUCAGCUCGUAGCAGGUCUUCCAGAUGUGGUUCUCCAGGAACUCUUUUUUAAGCUCACAUCUCAGUACAUCUGGAGAUUAUCCAAGAGGCAGCCCCCUGACACCAUACCAUUGCGAACAUCAGAGGAUCUGAUUAAUGCCUGUAGUCAUUAUGGUUUAAUCUAUCCAUGGGUUAAUGUCUUAAUAUCAUCCGAUUCCUUAGCGGAUAAAAGUUAUACAGAAGACCUUUCAAAAUUACAGUCUCUUAUAUGUGGUCCUUCAUUUGACAUAGCUUCCAUUAUUCCAUUCCUGGAGCCACUCUCAGAAGACACUAUCGCUGGCCUCAGUGUCCAUGUUCUGUGUCAAACACGUUUGAAAGAGUAUGAACAAUGUAUAGACACACUGUUAGAAAGAUGCCCAGAGGCGAUCAUUCCAUAUGCUAAUCACGAGCUGAAAGAAGAGAAUCGGAUAGACUUUGUGGUGGAAAAAACUGCUGCCUGAACUUUGUCACAGAAUAAAAUGUGGUGGAGAGAAAGGUCAGCUUUACCUGUCAUCAUUAAAAGUUAUAACAUUUUGUUGCCUGACCUCGCUUCCAAUUGGUUGAAUGAUAAGAAAAUUGAAUGAAAGACAGGCUUGCAGUUCUAACUCAGAUACUGUCCUACCAACAGAAACGUUGUCAGUUGUUGCGGUGGAGCUAGAACUGAGGGAUUUCCUGAAUGUCCUCCCAGAAGAUGGCACUGCAGCAUUUUUCUUGCCAUAUCUUCUUUAUUGCAGUCGAAAGAAAAAAUCAUUGACUUGAAGUUAUCAUUUG